AAAGAUUAAGCCAUGCAUGUCUAAGUAUAAGCAACUAUACGGUGAAACUGCGAAUGGCUCAUUAAAUCAGUUAUCGUUUAUUUGAUAGUACCUUACACUUGGAUAACCGUGGUAAUUCUAGAGCUAAUACAUGCUAAAAACCCCAACUUCGGAAGGGGUGUAUUUAUUAGAUAAAAAACCAACGCCCUUCGGGGCUCCUUGGUGAUUCAUAAUAACUAAACGAAUCGCAUGGCCUUGCGCCGGCGAUGGUUCAUUCAAAUUUCUGCCCUAUCAACUUUCGAUGGUAGGAUAGUGGCCUACCAUGGUAU
rnacentral:rRNA from 1 species